GUCUAUCUCAGUUGGGUUAGAGCAUGAUACUGAUAAUGCCAAGGUUGCAGGUUCGAUCCCUGUAUGGGACA